UAAGUUUAAAGAACGUGGGAAUGUUGAUCAAAGAGGGUAAAACUCCUCUAUUUGAUUUUUGACCUGUCAAACAUUAUAAUCGAGAUUUCCUUAUUAAGAAGUCUAAAGGGCUUGUAAUGACGCAGUUUACCUCGAUUGCUUGUUGAUGGACCAUAUGGCGCCGCAGCACAGGACUAUCAAAAUUAUGAUGUCUUACUCCUUGUGGGACUUGGUAUUGGCGCUACCCCUUUUAUAAGUAUCCUAAAGGAUCUAUUGAACAAUUCAAGAUCAGAAGAACAACUGGUACAAAUUUUACUUCCAAGUUAAUUUAGAACUAACCAAGUAGAAUGUUAAGGGUCCAACUUACAGUCUCUCUGUCCAUGAUGCUACCUUAGGAUUCGAAUACUGAGACCAGCGCAUCAGAUGACAGCUGGACAAGUUAUGCCUCUUCAAGCGCG
rnacentral:lncRNA from 1 species